rnacentral:rRNA from 1 species
CAGUAGCGUAUAUUAAAGUUGUUGCAGUUAAAAAGCUCGUAGUUGGAUUUCUGGUGUGUUGCGCUUGGCCCGCCGACGUUAGUCGUGUGAGUGCUGAUGCGCGGCUGCCAUCCUUCUGGAGAACGUGUCUACCCUUCACUGGGCGGGAUUCGUGACCCAGAUCUUUUACUUUGAAAAAUUAGAGUGUUUAAAGCAGGCUUUUGCUAUGAAUACAUUAGCAUGGAAUAAUAAUAUAGGACUUUGGUUCUAUUUUGUUGGUUUCUAGGACUAAAGUAAUGAUUGAUAGGGAUAGUUGGGGGUGCUAGUAUUCAGCGGCCAGAGGUGAAAUUCUUGGAUUCGCUGAAGACUAACUUAUGCGAAAGCAUUCACCAAGGAUGUCUUCUUUAAUCAAGAACGAAAGUUGGGGGAUCGAAGACGAUUAGAUACCGU